ACUAUCUCCAAGAAUUUAACUCUUCACUUCCUGUCAUCUGGACCUGUUUACUCAGCCUGAGUUUAGCAGCCAAGAGACCACAAGAGACAAAUAUGCACUCGAGCGGAAACCAAACUACGUUGCUCACUCUACAUCCUCCAUUCAGCACAAGUACAGGCAAAAACGUACGAAUGGGUAGGCUUUAUCCGACUUCGUGUACUGCGAAUCAAGGCAAGUAUUAAAAAAAAGAGAAAUUCAAACAACGGUACCCACCUAGUUCUAAGCAAUUCUAAUCAUUUUCCACCUCUCUCCAAUCCGUACCAUCAGCCGCUUCUCACAAAACCCACCUAAUAUGUUUCACCUAUCCAACAGCUAACUAAACAAGCCAUUAGCCUAUCCUCAUCGUCAAAUGCAACAACCGUACUCAACUGGGUCGGAUAGAAACAGAUAAGGAAUAAAAAAGCCAACCAAAAUUCAAAAACCAAUCAUACAGCGUAUAAAAAAACAGAAUAACAAAGCUUCAGCUUUCCUUGUGAAAAAUCAGCUGAUAGUAGAUUAACCUGCCAAGCAUCGAGAGUGCGCUGAAAGCUCUGAAGCCAGCGAUCGGCUUCCAUGCGAACAGCGU
rnacentral:lncRNA from 1 species